rnacentral:rRNA from 1 species
AACGAACACUGGCGGCAUGCCUAACACAUGCAAGUCGAACGAAGGCUUCGGCCUUAGUGGCGCACGGGUGCGUAACGCGUGGGAAUCUGCCCUUGGGUUCGGAAUAACUCAGAGAAAUUUGAGCUAAUACCGGAUGAUGACGUAAGUCCAAAGAUUUAUCGCCCAAGGAUGAGCCCGCGUAAGAUUAGCUAGUUGGUGGGGUAAAGGCCUACCAAGGCGACGAUCUUUAGCUGGUCUGAGAGGAUGAUCAGCCACACUGGGACUGAGACACGGCCCAGACUCCUACGGGAGGCAGCAGUGGGGAAUAUUGCGCAAUGGACGAAAGUCUGACGCAGCCACGCCGCGUGAGUGAGGAAGGCCUCGGUUGUAAGAC